rnacentral:rRNA from 1 species
AUUGAACGCUGGCGGCAUGCUCUACACAUGCAAGUCGAACGGUAACAGGCCGCCAGGUGCUGACGAGUGGCGCACGGGUGAGUAAUGCAUCGGAACGUGCCCAGUCGUGGGGGCUAACUACUCGUAAGAGUAGCUAAUACCGCAUACGAUCUAUGGAUGACAGCGGGGGACCGUAAGGCCUCGCUCGAUUGGAGCGGCAAAUGUCAGAUUAGGUAGUUGGUGGGGUAAAGGCUCACCAAGCCAACGAUCUGUAGCCGGUCUGAGAGGACGACCAGCCACACUAGAACUGAGACACGGCCCAGACUCCUACGGGGAGCAGCAGUGGGGACUUUUUGACAAUGGGCGAAAGCCUGAUCCAGCAAUGCGGCGUGAAGGAAGAAGGCCUUCGGGUUGUAGACUGCUUUUGUACGGAACGAAACGGCUCUGGUUAAUACCCGAAGAUAAUGACGGUACCGUAAGAAUAAGCACCGGCUAACUACGUG